UACAAUGCAAAAUACAAUACAUAAAUCUUAAAUGGGGGGAUUACACACUCGUUAUGUUCAAAAUCUUUCUGAAACUAUCCAAGACAAAAUAAUAGCAAAAGGUCAUGCAGACUUCGAUGAAUCGAAACCAAACAUAUCGCCAAUGAGGAUUUAUGAUCAAAACUGCAACAAUCGACAACAAAACGAUGACAUAAGAGACAAUAAAACUCACAUAGAAAGACUCCAUGUCCAUGAAACCACCACCAUCUUCUUCUUUGUCCUUGUCUUUUUGCAUUGUUGAUGUUGGUUGGGUUUCAGUGCAACUGUUAUGCAACGGAAGCCCACAGAGAAGAGGAUUUCCUUCGUAGCUACUUUCUUCGAAAGUUGAGAACUGAGCUUUUUGUUCUGGCAUUGCACCUGACAAGUUGUUGUGUGCCACACUGAAAACUGCCAAGCUGUUCAAUUCAAUCAACUGAGUAGGGAUUCUUCCAUUCAAAUCAUUAUAGGAGAGAUCCAAACUUUCGAUCUGCUUUAACUGUGAGAACAUUGCUGGGAUUGAUCCAGUUAGAUUAUUAUGGGACAAGUUUAAUGCACGGAGUUCGCCCAAAUUUCCAAUAGCAGCUGGGAUUUCACCAGUCAAGUGGUUGCAAGAGAGAUCAAUUCCUGACAUGUAAACAAGAAUAUGGCCUCUGUAUGCAUAAUAUCUAUGCUUUGUCAUGAACUCCACUUGGUUCGUAACGGAAGUUAAUGGGUUAUAUUCUUCAACCUCCUUGUGAAAUUCUUCUCUCCAAUGUAUUGGGUCCACCAAAUCAUAUGGACCAGAUGGAAAUCUGUCUCCAGGAGAUUUUAGAAGCGAUGGAUUAAAAGGGAUGUCACUAAAGCAAGUAGGUAUGAGACCAGAAAAGUUAUUUUGGGAAAGGUCUAAUAUGCUUAAUUUUUUCAACUGGCAUAUUUGCCUGGGAAUUUCGCCUUCAAAAUGAUUGAAUUUUAAAAUAAGAAUGCUCAACCAAUAAAGAUUACCAAUCCAACCAGGAAUGGUACUUGUGAAAUUGUUUUCACCAAGAUCCAUUGUCACCAAAGAAAAACAAUUGGAAAAUACAUGUGUCAUUGGACCACUGAAAUUGUUUUGACUCAAAUGGACAUGUUGUAUAGGCGAUGAGUUGAAGCAAGGUGGUACAAAACCAAAAAGGUUGUUAUCCGCAAGAUCUAAAAACGCAAGACCACCAAGUUUGCAAAACUCUAUUGGAAUACGUCCUUCAAAAUGAUUUGAGAACAUGAUAAUUCCCCUCAAGCUAGACAUGUUUCCCAUCCAUCUUGGAAGCUUGCCUGAUAUGUGGUUGUUGCUAACAUCCAAUAUACUCAAAGGGAGAGUCGACAUGCUAUUUGGAAGUUUUCCCUCAAAUUGAUUGUUGUCCAAGUGUAAAAACUCCAAACGGGUUAAAUUACCAAAUGAAGGAGAUAUUUGCCCGGACAAAUUAUUGUUUGAUAGUGCAAGGGACCCUAAGGAGGAGCAACCUAUUGCCAAAUGCUCUGGUACAUGUCCUGAGAAAUUAUUAUUUGACAAGUUCAAAUCCGUCAAAGAAUCUAAGUCACCUAGAGAAGAAGGAAUUUGGCCUUGAAAUAGGUUUGAAGACAAGUCUAAACUUUUCAAGUUCGGAAAGAUCAAACCGAUAUUUGUUGGAACUUGGCCGUCAAAACAGUUAUAUGAAAUGUCAAUUUCAGAGGCAUGGGGAUUGGGAUGAGACGGUGUCAUGAAAGGCCCUGUGAGAGAGUUAUUUUUUAGACUAAGAAGUUCCAAUCGUGUAUUGUUUUCUAACAACCAAAUUGGGAAUGUACCCACCAGGUUGUAGUGUGAUAAAAAAAUUGCUCUCAGGUCAUAUUGGUAGAAAAGAAAAUAGGGAAAUUUCGCAACAAGCUUUUUGGACCAACUUUUCGAUAAAACGAAAACCUUCAGUUGGAACCUAGGGGAAUCCCUUGUUUGAAACUCAGUUUGGUCAAUAAAAUCAUUGCUUUCAACCUACAGACCUUGAGCUUCGAAUGGGUUAAAAUGAGACAAAUGGAAUUGGGAAACCGAAUGGUUAUCGAAAGUACAACCGCUUCCUUCAAGUGUUGUGAGAUGACUAAGUGAGACAAAGCAAGAUUUCCUCUUAAUUGGUUAUAAGGGGAGGGGGGUCCAACAACUGGAUUGAUGUUAAGUUCCCAAACAUGGACGGAAUCAUCCCCUCGAUAUAAUUCUCACUGAAUCCAAAUCUUGAGGUUAGAAAGCGCACACCAACCUAAAACAGAACAAGUAAUGCUUAGCUUAGGAUAUUGGCAUGUCUACAUAAGACCAUUUAAUUGAAGGUGGGAAAACAUUACAUAUUUUAUCAAAGGAAUAGGAUCGAAGUGUGAAUACCUUGUUCAGGUAGGCUCCAUUAGGCACAAUGUUCGCGCAAUGACCAAAAACCAUUAGGGAAGAACACUAACUUAUAAGAAAGUGCUUGUCAAGGAGGAAUUCAUUCAAAUGCAAGACUUUAAGUGUUUCAAUCCAUCGAUCCGAAAAGCAAUAGUUAAGAAUUAUUUUUUAAAACAAAAAUGAAUAUUAGUUCAUUCUCAACAUGGAAAUAAGAAUUAUAUAACAUCUAGAACCUUCUCCACUACCCCAGUUUACCUUCCAUGUUAUUUAUCAAAUUGCCGCUCAAGUCCAGCUCCUCUAAGUUGCUCAUAUUAUGGAAUUCUAAAAUAAGCAUUAAAAAUAGAAUAAAUAUAAGAUGUGACAGAAACCACAAUGAUACGUAACAAAUCUUCAUAACUACUUUUAACACACGAUCUCCGUAAUAUUCAUCACAACCGACCAUAACAUACACCAUAAUUUUCUUUAACAUAUACCACAAUUUCAAAUUUAGCACCUAGUUGGGCUUUGAUCGGCCUAGCUACAUGUAUUUGCACAUCAAGUUUGCGUAGGCUGGGUUUUGGCUUAAUGGUGUCCUCCAAAGCCAAACUCAACAGGUAUUUGUUUCUUCUUUUUAUUCAAAUAAAAUGAUCAUUUCCUUUAAGGGAUGUGCUUGUUUUUCCCUUUGAUUAACUGCUAAACAAAAUUUAUCAAGAUGACCUCAAAACAAUAUCAUCAUUUAAGAAAAAAAAGUUAGAAAACAUGUUUUUACCUAGAAAACUAGAUUAGGGAUGAACGAUAAAAAAAUGUAAAUUUAUGUAAAUUAGUUAUGAAAUCAUUAAUGUCAGUAUCACUCAUAUCUAGCACCAACAAGUUUUUCAAAUCUAUGAGCUCUGCUCUCAAGUCAAGAAAGUGAAAAGUAUUAGUUGGAAAUUGCAAAAACUCUGUUUUCAUGCGGUCUCAUGACGGAUCAUGAAUAUUUAUGGAAUAUUUUAUGAAUAUAUAGAAAGAAAAAGGUAAAAGAAAAGAUGAAGUGAAAAGGCUAUUUUUUUUCUUUGUUUUUUCUAUCAUAUUUCCUUCUUUGAUAAUCUCUCUACAAAUUGAAAAAAAGAAAACUUCAAACUUACCUUCAAUGUGAAUUUUUCCGUCUAACUGGUUAUAACCUAGACGUAGAGUCUUGAGAGAUGUGAACCCACCCAAUUUCGAUAGGAUACUAUUAUUGAUACGAUUUCCACUCAAAUCAAGGAACUCUAAUUUGUUCAAACUAGUCAGCUUCUCAAAACCUGUAAAACAAUCAAUGAUUACAUAUAUAAUAGGUCACAACAUAAUUACCAAAAGAUUGUCAGAAGCAAAUAUAAUUGUAGUGCACUAGUAUGCUUCUUAUGCAAGAAUCAUAAAACCUUCGUUUUGAAGACGAUUCACUAAUGAAUUAUGUGAUAAGUCGAGAUUGUCAAGUUCUUCAAAUGGAAAAAACAUGGAGACAUUCAAGUAUUAAUCUCAUGAAACCUAAUCCCUUAGCUCAUAGAGUGAGAGUUGGAUCAUUCGUUCCAUGCUGUGUUGCACUUGACUCUUUCCCAUUUGCAACAAACUGUAGUUGCUUCACCCACCAAAGCCUCCUCCCAUGUUUCUUUAAGUUGCAAAAGAGCAGUACUCUCUUGCUCCAAACACCCAUAACGCUCACUGGCCAAAACCAACAUUACCCACAACCACAUGAUCAUUCUCAUCUCUUCAAAAAAAAAGACAUACCUAUUUUUAUUUGCAUGUUCCAGAUUUGGCACUUAAGCUUGCACAUGUAUAUCAGUGGGGUCCUGAGUCCUUAAUAAUAAUAAGUAAUUAUAAUUAUAAUAAAGCACUGUGAUGCACUGCCCCCUUAACUAAUCUGGUCACUUUUGUGAAAAAAUAAAAGCAGACUUUAAUUAGUUUUUAGAAUAAUUGAUUGAAAUAUCACCUCAACGUGUGCAUUUGGCCUCCUUAGUUAUCACACAUAGUCCAUCAAAGUGUUAUCAAUAAUGCUACAAUGACCAUUUCUUUACCAUAUUUUAUUUAUGUCGUAAGCCGACUGAUGCGGUAGUAAAAAAAGUGAUAUGAUUAUAGGUAGUGAGAAUACUAGGGGAGAGGUAAGUUGAAGUUAAUAUUGGAUGCGAUAGAAAAAAAAGAAUAUGAUUGAAUUCAAUCUCGGUGAACAAUUGACCAUUGACCGACCUUAAUGACGUAAAAUGAUUUAUGUAGCCGACCCCAAUUGAUUGAGACAAAUGCUUGGUUUGGUUUGAAUAUAUUUAUUUCUUUUUCUUUUUUCUUUUUUUGAUCAAUUCCAAUUUGGUUGGUUUACAAUAUUUUUAGAUGAAAAAUCUUUUAUUUGUAAUGAUUUUCAUAAAUUUGAUAACGAAGUUUCUUUUUAAGUAGGUUUAUAUUAUUAUGGGCACUUAAAAAGUAAAAAUUUAGAUCACCUUUUUUUUUAAAAAUAAUUACAUAUUAAUAAAAAAGCAAAGAUAGAAGUAGUUUAUGAAAAAAAUUGGGAAAUUAUGAGGAAAAAAAGGGUAGCUCUAUCUACCUUAAUUAGUGUAUUGAGAAAAGAAAAAGGAAAACCCCAUAUAUAAAAGCACUUUUGUUAUUUCUGAAAAAAAAUUAAUGAUCACCAGCUAAAUUUGAGAGCAUGAAUAUGAUAAUAGUUUCAAAAGUAGGAAAAAUUAGUGAUAUUUCAGAAAUUACAAGAGAGAUGAUUAUAUUUGUCAAAAAUCUCAAGAAAGGUUAGUGAAAUUACCCCAUUCAAAAAUAUAAUAAAGUAUACAAGUAAAGAAACCCUAUUGUUCUCAAAUUCGGACUAAGAAAUAUUCUUCAAAUACAAAAUGAAUGAUACGACCUAAUAUUUAUUUUGAAGCAUUGAGCUAGUAGUUUUUAGUGCAACACCGAUAUUCGUUUCAUCCAAACAUAUCACAAGAGGAACAUGAGGAUGUGAACUUGUCUACACUGAUGGGGGAAUAGAUUGUUUUGUGAAGCAGUUUAUACUGGACUCUUACCUCCUAUGUUGAUUGAUCCGUCUAAAUAAUUGUAACGUAGGGACAAAGUCUUGAGUGAUGAAAGCACACCAAGAAAUGGUAAGAUGCUAUUAUCCAAUAAUGUGGAAUCCAAUUUUAUAACCUCCAGCUUGGCCAACACAGGCGACAAUCUUUCAAAUCCUGCGAAAUUAAUUUCCAUUUCAAGUCAAAUCUAAGACCGUUUGUAAGAAGUAGAUUUCAAAUAAAGAGAAUUGACAUACUCAAUGUGAAUAGCUCAAACUUAGAUAUGAUAGUUCAUCUAUGGGUUUCAACGUUGAAUUUUGAAAUUUUAUAAGGAUGACUAGUUUAAUAAGGAUGUGUAUGGAUUAAGAAUUUGACGAGGGAAAAGAAAAAAAAAGAAGGUAGAAGGUGUAAUAGUCACAAAUGGUUGGAUCAUCUAGUUUUUUCUUAUUUCUUACCAAAUUCUUAAUUUAAAAAGUCUUAGAGUGAUUAGCAAUCUUUCAUGCUAUAGAUUUGUAGCUUUACAAAAUACAUCUCUUUAUUUCCUCCUCCUUGUAUUUUUGUUUAUGCUAAACACUAAAUUACCUUGACUUGAAAGCCAUUAUAACCCAAUGGAUUUAGGCUAUAUUUGGAUAAAGAAUUUAGAGAGAUAUUGUUGAGAAAAAAAAAAGAAGAAAACGAUCAAAUUUAAAUAGUUGGGUCCUUUAUGGUGGUGGCCGGAGUAGGCGGAGUGUCUCUGGGGGUAAGGUGUAUAGUGGUGAUAAUGGGGGUGGCGUUAAUGGUAUUGUGGUGAGGGUAUAAGGGAGGUUCUAAUGCACCACAUCUAUCUCAGUACACCCCAAUUUCUAAGUAAAACAAUCUCAUUUUACAAUUUAAUUAUCAUCUUUGUACAAUUCCCCUAGUUUCCAUAAUGUUCAUAUUUUCAACUUCUUCAACUCUAGGUGUACAUCGCCGAAUACCAUUGCCACCAUCUGCUCCACUCUCGGCCGCCCACCCCAGCCUUUUCCUCUACUAUUAACACACACACCCUCCCCCCAAAAAAAGAUCACCACCAUCUCCCCCACUCAAACUCAACACCCAUAACCACUUGCACCCUUAAUAACCAUCACACCCACCGGGAAACCCGUUCUCACCUUAGCAACCUCUCUCCCCAGCCAUAAUCAACUCCUCAUGGGUGGUUACAAAAGGUAAAGAAUGGCCUGUCAAUGUCGAAGAGUGUUGGGGAAUAGGUAUCUACAUUAAUUAGUGCCCGAAGGGAAGGGUUGGGUUGGGGUUGGGGGUGGCGAGUCAAUGAUGGUCCGAUGGAGAAGGGAGAGGGUGGAGGAAGGGAUGGGUGGAAAUAGACUGUGGAUGGGAAAAUACAGAGUGGUGGUUAUGGUGGUUAUCGGGCGUAGCCGGCAGAGUUAAAGCUUGGGUCUAAUUCGGUGGGCUAACAAAUUAGGUUAUUUGAGUUUUAGGGCUUGUGUUGUCAAUGUUGAUUUCAUAUAGAGAUAAAAUUGUAAUUUUAAAAAAAAAACAGUUUUUUGGGUGUCCUGAUAGAAAAUUAGUUUGCAUUUAGAAGGUCCCGUAAAAAAAAAAAAAGGAGGUUAGUAAUGCUUUUUUUUUUUUAAAUUGAUGGGAGUUAAUAGUUAUGUGAAUCUUUCAUACGAGUGGAUGGAGUAAAAGUUCCCUUUUUGGAAGCUCUGCCCAAGACCCCCAAAAAAAAGCCACUAAAAAAACAAGAAGCCCAACCCACACAGCCGACAAUUUAUGACUAAUUUGGUAAUAGAAAAAAGAAUGAGUCUUGUAUCAUAUACCUGAGUGAGUUGUGAAGCCAUUCAAGCUAUUUUCACCCAAUCUAGCUCCUGCCAGUUUGUCAAAUUUCUAAAUUCUGCUCUCAAGACAAAAAAAAGAAGAGUUAGCUGGAAACCUGGUGUUCCUGUAGUCUCACAAGACUGUGUUUAGAUUAUCAAUUUGUGAAAUAAAAACGAAAAGAAAAAGGAAAAGAUGAUGUAAAAAGAUAUUUUUUUUCUUUGUUUCUUCUACCAUUUUUCUUUUCCUUGAUAAAUAACUGCAAAAGAGAAGAAGCUUGAACUGACCGUCAAUAUGAAUUUUUCCAUAUAACUCGUUACCAAGUAGACGUAGAGUCUUUAGAGAUGUGAACCCACCCAAAUUCGGUAAGAUGCUAUUAUUGAUACGAUUGUGACUCAAAUCAAGAAACUCUAAGUUGUUUAACAACUUCUCAAAACCUGUAAAACAAUUAAUAAUAACAUAUAUAAUAGAUCAACAAACACAUUUUCUUAAAUAUUGUCAAAGCACAUCAUAUAUGAUUAGAUUGUUUUCUUUUAUGCAAGGAUUACAAAACCUUUGUUUGGAAGCCAACUCUCUAAUGAAUUCCAUGAUAAGUCGAGACUUUUGAGGUCUUCAAUGGAAGAAACAUGGAGGCAUCAGUACCACUCUCCUGAGUCCAGUCCCUUAGCUCAUAAGUGAGAAGUUUGAGUCACUCGCCCGUCGCGAGGUUGCACUUGACUCUUCCCAUUGACAACACUCCGUAGUUGCUUCCCACCAAAGCCCUCCCAUGUUGGGAGGCUCUUGCCAUGGUGUGGGGUUAAUGGAAUCUUUUAGCUGCAAAAGAGCAGUCUCUCUUGCCUCCAAACACCCAUAACACCCACUUGCCAAAAUUACAUACCAAACCACAUUAUUCCAUGAUUCUCUUGUAACAAAAAGACUCAUCUAUUUUUCUUGGGCAUGUUCCAUAUUUUGGCCUCAGCUUGCACAAUAGCACUGAGAUUGCAAAAUCUUAGCUUGAAGUAUUUUUAAAAUAGUCUAUUGCAGUGGGUAUUGGUGGAGGAUUUAAACUCAUUUAAAUUCUUAGUAUAUGGUUAUUCCCAAAAAAGUUGUAAUUUUUUUUUCUUUUUUACCCUCAUUUAAAGGGGAAAUGGAUUGACAAUGGAUGCCAUUGGUAACGAUGUUGGAGCUGGUGACUACAAUGUAGUCGACACUACCGCCAAUAUUUUUGGUGAAGGUGCCUAUGUGUAAUUCAUAUAAUGAUAAAUUUAUCAUGCUAAAUAACCCAUUGAUUAGAGCCAAGAUUUUUUCCAUCUCAUUAAGAUUGCAAUUAGCAAUUUGAACUAAUUCAAUAAACAAUUAAUUAGUUAAAGGGUCAAUGUGAAAAAAAAAUCUUGAAGGCCAAAAUGGAGAGAAAUAGAUAAUCACUUUAGAUGGCAAUGUGUAUAAUUACCUGCCUAGUGUUAUGUAGUUUUCUUUUCCUUCCUUUACAAAAUCUUGCAUUUAGUCCUUAGUUGUAUAUAUAAGACUUCGAAGUAUAAUCUAUUUGCAUUAUUGAGAACUUUGACUUGGAGUACUCUCAUCCCCAUUUCUAAGCAAUUUCUCAGUGGUUGAGACCAGCCAAUAACGAAGGAAUUUCCACGACCUAUGUAGAGUUGCUUUUAAGGUGGUCGGUUCUAGACAUAGCAGCCGCACAGUGUGUGGAGGGUCACUCAUGAAAUAUUGGGUGGGCUCCUUGGUGGGCACUAUGCACUGGCUUCCCAGUGUUGGGGCCGGCUACCUCAUCUGAUUUACCUAAAAAAAACCAAAUUUUGUUAUUCCACUGGGGCCUGGAAUAUGGACCGCUAAGGUAAAAUCCAGGAAAAUACACCUUUUGCUUCCGCGAAUUUCACAAAUUGGAAAUGCAUAGAGUAACGUGUUCCCACUAUCAUCAUGAAUUAAUUCCAGGAUCUACCUAUUAAAUGCCAGUGAAGACUUUUAGGGAUAACUUAUUUGAGCAGACUUCGACUUGGGUUAGGUAGAACUGAACAAAAUUUUCCACAACUGGAAAUGCAUUUUGGAAAUUCAAGUCUUCCCAAGACUUGCGUGUGGAACGAAGUCUAUUGCAGUGAUGCUCAAUUUCCAUGGAAUAGAUGGUCAAGGAAAAAAAUUAUGGAAAGGACGAAUUUACAUAUUAAUUUGUUAAAUUGAAUUCAAGUCCACAUUUAUCAAAUGGGGUUGAGCCCAAAGACAAAAAAAUUCAACUAAAAAUGUGGCCUGUGUGAAAAAAAAAACAUAUACGCGACCAUUCCACUGGUAAGUCAUACAACGUGUUGAGCCCAUCUGGUGUCAUAAGAAAAGGAGUGGAACAAGUGGUGGCUAUAAGACAAGUUGUCUUAUACAAAAAAUAUGUUAAUAGUAUCUUAAUAUUAUAAUUUGUUUGUAUGUCAAAAAAAAAAAAUCGUUUUGUUUGGACUUCUAUUUUUAAAAAUUAAUGUAAAAUAAAGUACUAUUUAAACGAUUAAGAUCGUAGUUUGAUGAAUGGAAAGUAUUGCAAUAUAGAGAAGAAGAAGUACGAAUCUUAUUUUUUAUAAUUUUGAAAAAGUUUUCAAAAGAACUAUUAAAUUACUCAUUAAAUAAUAAUUAUAUUAAUUUCAAAAAUGAAAAGAUAUCAUAUUACUAUUAACUUAUCUCAUUAAAAUUAAUUUUUAAAAUAUAUAAUUUUCAAAAAUAAAAAAAUCAUAUUUCUCUACUAACCCCAAAUCCCAAGCCAGAUUAAUUCUAUUUAUCAGAGAUUAUUCUUUGACAGCCACAUCAUCAUACAAUUUAAUUAAAUUAUUUAAUUUUUAAAUAAAUAAAAUAUAUUAUGAGUAUCUUAAUCCCUCACAAAUAGAAAACCAGAAUAAAUAUAUAUUUAUUUAUGGAUUUAUAAUUUUUAAUAGUAAUUUAAUUUUCGGUAAAUAAGAAUUUUAUUACCAUAAAAUUAAAAGAUUCAUAUAUAUGUAUAUUUUUAUUUUCAAUUUCAUAGAUCUAUCUAUCCAUAAUAAAAAAAAAGAGGGGGAAAAACAUAAAUAACUAGGAAUGGUUAAUUGGUUCGUGAUACAUGUAUUUAGAUCAAAAAAUUCGUUGUUGGUUUAUUAUUCUUUUAUAAAGAAACAAGAAAAAUAAAUGACCGAGCGAACACUUCUUAAGAUCGACCGUGCCACAAAAAAUCAAGUGGACUAUUGAUAUUAUCAAUUCAAAAACACAUGUUUUUUUUUAAAAAAAAAGGAUGUGUGUUUAAAAACUAGUUAUUAGAUUUGCAUCUCUAAAUGUAAAAAAUAAAAAACUAGUCAAAUAUAUAAGAGAUUGGAACAAACUUAUCAGUGUUUAAAAUCCGGACCGUUGAGCGAAUCGGAAAAGAGACCGGGUCACGGAUCACUAGUUCAACCGUCGAGUCAACCGUUAUUGACUCGUGAUGUCAUAAUUAUGUCAUUAAGUUAUUUAUUAAUAGUAAUAAAAUAUUUUUUAUUUUUCUACACUAGUUUUUAUACUUGAAACUUAAAAUUUUGAAAUUAAAACAUAAAAUUUUUCUUAAAAUAGGGAACAUGCCGGUUCAACGACCCGUUCAAUCGCCAGAUUUCUGGUUCAACCGCGGGUUUGACCGGGUUUUGACCAAAACAGAUUUUGAUGACUGACCGGACCGUUUCUGCGACCGAUCGACGGUUCAACCGGUGGGUCAAUCUGUGUUUUAAAACCAUACAACUUACAACUAGAUACAGAGACUUGAGAGAUAUUUGCCCACCCAGAGUCGUUAGGAUGCGAUUCCCGAACUCCAACCUUGAUCUUUCUCAGCCUUGCCAGCAUCUCAAAAACUGUAAAACAGCCAAUAAAACAAAUCACAGACCGCAAAAUAACUUUUGCAGACAGUGUUUCCAAAACUACGAUUCAAGCCAGAACAAGAAGUUCAGAAACAUGUCCAUUCAGAAAUAUGACCUUCCAAAUAUGAUCAACAGAACACAUUGUCUGCUUUAGAUUUUAAUAGCUUCACCACAAAUUAGUCAGAUAUGAAUAAAGGUUGUCCAAAUGCCCCUCAGUUGAAUAAGAACCAAAAUGAGAAAAUAAUAAUACUUUUAAGGGGCAAAGUAUAAUUAACCUGUCUACGCAUUUUUCCCUCCCUUAACAAAAUCUUGCAUUAAGUCUAGUUGUAUAUAUAAAGACUUCGAAGUAGAAUCUAUUUGCAUCAUGUGAGGCAGACGUGACUUGGGUUUAGGCAAAAAUGAACAAAUUUUCCACAAAUUGGAAAUGCAUGGAGCAUCUUUUGGAAAUUCCAGGUCUUCCCAACUUGCCUGUGGAAUGAGUCUAUUACCAGCUUCUGACAAACAACAGUGAUGCUCAUUUUCCAUGGAAUAGAUUUGUCGCGGAAAAAACAAUAUGGAAAGGGACAGAUUUGUCAAAGCAGGAAAAAAAAAGAUGUUUCGAGGAAAAUGAAAGGGAAAUGAAAACCAAUAUGAUGGAGAGAAGUUAAUUUCUCUGAUAAAUGAAUUGAGAAAGAGAAUACUUAUACUCAUCCAUCAAGACUAAAAUCAAUUAGCAAGCAAAGAUACAAAACCAAUCUUACUAUGGAAAAACCAUAGUUCUGAUGAAUAAAAAAUGAAGUGAUCAACCUACUGAAUAGUCCAAGAGGUUUUUGGAGCUGAUUUGGUCUUCAAAUACCCAUACUCCAAACUUCAAGGCUGUGUACAACUUUAUUCAAAUGGAACACACUUAGAAUAAGAAUGAAAGGAAAAGGUAAACUUAGAAUAAUAGGUAAACAUGACUUAUUUAUCAUAUGAUAUUUUAACUGGAAUAAUUUCCAGUAUCAAGUAAGAAAACUAGGAGGAAAUUUAUCAUCACUUGAACUAAGAAAGAGUUUUACCUUCAGACCAGUCGUAGAAUUGUUGGACUGUUUGGAAGCAAUUUCCGAGAGAUAAUGGCUUCAAAUAGCCAAUAGAAUAUUUUACAAUGCCAUAUCAGGAUAACAAAUUUCCCCUGAUUCCUAUUAGUGCAUUCCUCUUAACUACCGUGACAGUACUGCACAUUACUUCUUCCCACCAAAAUAAAAGGACUAUUAUGUGCAGAUAACAGUGAUACAUAAAAUUUCAAGAAAGAAUUGGUGACUGCUUGAAAUGAUCAGUAGGGUUCUUCUUCUAACAAAUUUACUGAAACCACAUCGAUGCUUGGAAGAGGAAUUAUGAAUUAACAUGCUCAAAAUUUCAGUGUACACUGCAGCACUUGCCCCCCCAUAACCUUUGAGAAAUACCCACGACGGCCCCCCUAUUGAGAGGGAAGAUUCUCAUGUUUGUUACAAGCAUGGCUGUGAGUCUGUGACGAGCCAAGCGCUGCUAUUGGUGGCAACACAAAGUGCAAGCCAUAAGUACCAUCGAAUU
rnacentral:lncRNA from 1 species